AAAAACUAAGUGUUUAGCAUACUUCGUUUUGGUUGAAGAGGAGGUUCGUGGAACCAGUUUUUG
rnacentral:tRNA from 1 species